GUCUCUAUCUCUCUCUCCAACCAUGAAGCUGCAACCUGUCCACAACCACGGGCAACGGACUAUACUUUUCAAAUCCCAUCACUCAGCCAAAAAUACCGUACCCCCCAAGAUUCAAGCUUGCCUUCCCAAACAAGAUCUAAAGGGCCAAUCCGUCGCUGUUAUAGGUCUAGGAAAAUCUGGAGUAGCAGCAGUGAAACUUGCUCUUGCAAGAGGUGCUUCAGUUGUAGCGGUUGAUCAAAAUGAGAAUUUGGAUCCACUAGAGAAAGAUCCUCUAUUUUCGAAACAUAACAACGUGAAGACAAUUCUUGGUCACUUUGAUGAACGCCUGUUCAGAGAUGCCGAUAGAGUAGUUGUUUCACCUGGAGUUCCUCUUGAAACUAAUGGUCUUUCAUCGCUGUUGCACUCGGGAAAACGAGUGAUGUCUGAGUUGGAUUUUGCAGCUGAGGUUCUUCCAAGCUGCACCAAGAUUUUAGCAGUGACAGGAACCAAUGGGAAAUCUACUGUUGCCACCUUUGCUGGACAGAUGCUUAAUCAUUUGGACUUUAAGACCUUUGUUGGGGGAAACCUGGGUGUUCCACUUUCAGAAGCAGCUUUACAGUGCUUAACAUUGACUCCCCAAAGCCCCAUGUUUAAGGUUGCCGUAGUGGAAGUCAGCAGUUACCAGUUGGAGGUUCCUCCUAAACACUUCUCCCCCUCAGUUGCAGUGAUCUUAAAUCUCACUCCUGAUCAUCUAGAACGACACAAGACAAUGGAUAACUAUGCACUGACUAAAUGUCGCAUUCUUUCUCACAUGAGUGGCAGGAAGAUGGGUGUUCUCCCCCUUGGAAACCAGCAUUUGAAUGAUGCUAUGAGAAGUUUUGCUAAUGAUCUUAAUCUUGCUUGGGUAGGAGCCUUUCCAGGUGUAAGAAUCAAUUUGGAUGCAAAGGUUGCCAGCUUCAGAAUACCUGGUGUUGAAAAGGUUUCAGAACUACAAUUGGGUGCAAUGAAGACAAUUGGAAUGCACAACUAUCAUAAUGCUGCAGUGGCUGCAUUAUCAGUUAUUGGACUUGAUAUUGCUAUUGAUGUUGAAGCCAUUAGUUCAACAAUUGGGAAAUUGGAGGUUCCACCUCAUCGGAUGCAAAUUGUACACAGAGAUAAUCGUGGGGUCAUAUGGGUGGAUGACAGCAAGGCAACGAAUGUCGAAGCAUCAUACACUGGACUGGUGGGUUUAAAGGGACAAAAAUCAGUCAUUCUUCUUGGUGGCCUUGCAAAGAUUCGGCAAGGGUCUAGUGGUUUUGAGCGGCUGUUGGAACCGCUGAAAUACCACAGAGGAGUUGUCACUUUUGGAUCUUCAGGAAUUAUGAUUCAGAAGACAUUGUCUGCUAAUGGUCUGAGUAUUCCCUGUGUUAGAGCAACCAAUUUGGACGAUGCCGUGAAACAAGCAAGGCGUAUGACAAUCUAUGGGGACGCGAUUGUUUUGAGUCCUGGCUGUGCGAGUUUUGAUGAGUUCAUAAGUUUUGAGCACAGGGGGAGGGUUUUCCAGGAGUUGGCCCGUUUGUCUGAAUAAUUGUGUGGGGCGAAUUGCUGGCACUGCUGCUUCUCAUUGCAGCAAAUUGAGAGUGCAAAUUAACGUACUGAACCUAAGUAAGCCUAGCGUCCCAGUUGAACUUGGUGUCUUUUGAGUCCUUCAGCCGUGCCAAUUCAUAUGAAGCACGUUUCAUUGAGUUCAGCUAUGCAAAUCCUUCUGUCAACUCAAAUGGGGCACUCAUAUGUCUCCAAUUUGAAAAACAGCUGCAACACGACUGCUCUCACAAGUGCAGGAUGCGAACUAUGUGCGAGAUUAUGAAUUCUGAUGGCUUGAUAACUAUAUUGCUGAAAAAGGAAAGAGAAUGGCAAGGUGAAUCCUAUCAAGCCACUGAUUAUUUUGACAAGUUGCAGUUCUGGAAGUAUGAUGCUAAAUCAAGAGCGCAGGGAUAUUUUUCACCCCGGUAUAGGUAAAUUUCAUGAGUCAUUGGAGCAGUCGUGACAAGUAGUAUUUUGUACAAAACCAGUAUAUUCAACUUGCAUACAACAUGAUGAAAUGUAUUGCCUUAAUCUUUUUGAAGGGUUUCGCCUGAGAGAAACGCGGUCUUUUUAAAUUGAAGAUGAUGCUCCAUGUAGAUAAAA